rnacentral:rRNA from 1 species
GAUGAACGCUGGCGGCGUGCCUAAUACAUGCAAGUAGAACGCUGAAGGAGGAGCUUGCUCUUCUGGAUGAGUUGCGAACGGGUGAGUAACGCGUAGGUAACCUGCCUGGUAGCGGGGGAUAACUAUUGGAAACGAUAGCUAAUACCGCAUGACAACAGUUAUUGCAUGAUAACUGUUUAAAAGGGGCAACUGCUCCACUACCAGAUGGACCUGCGUUGUAUUAGCUAGUUGGUGAGGUAACGGCUCACCAAGGCGACGAUACAUAGCCGACCUGAGAGGGUGAUCGGCCACACUGGGACUGAGACACGGCCCAGACUCCUACGGGAGGCAGCAGUAGGGAAUCUUCGGCAAUGGACGGAAGUCUGACCGAGCAACGCCGCGUGAGUGAAGAAGGUUUUCGGAUCGUAAAGCUCUGUUGUAAGAGAAGAACGAGUGUGAGAGUGGAAAGUUCACACUGUGACGGUAUCUUACCAGAAAGGGACGGCUAACUACGAG